UGUUCAUUGCAUUGCCUAUCACUGCGUUGCGAUCUGGACACGGAGCAUCCAAUUUUCCUCGUCAAUACUGGCGUCGCUUCCCCGGUUUAAUCCCAAUCCCUUUCGAUCGAUCCAAACGAGCACCAUUAGAAGUUGGAUCAGGGAAAAGGUCGGAGAUAUUGAAGGGAACGUGAUGUCCGAUGUAUGGUGGUAGAUGGUUGAGCAGAUGCUGAGGAAUAGGGAUAGAACCGAAGAUUUCAAGGAUGUUGUCCGUGCUGCUGCUUUUUCCUCCGGAUACACUGAGUCAAAACUUGCUGCAAUAUUGGCUGCUUUCAUUAUGCGCAAAUUUUCAGAGAGAAAACCCUUUACAAAAGCUGCAUUGAAGACGCUGUCAAGCAUUAAUGAAUUGGAACAUUUCAUUGUAAAGCAUCGAAAAGAUUAUGUGGGCUUGCAUCGCACAACUGAACAAGAGAGGGAUGAUAUUGAACAUGAAGUUAGCAUAUUUAUAAAAUCAUGCAAGGACCAGAUUGAUGUCCUAAAGAAUAGAAUCCUUGAGGAAGAGAAAAGUGGAAAUGCAAGGACUUGGCUUAAUGUGCGGGAUGAUGGCUUUAAUGCAGAUCUCCUAGCUCACAAACAUGGUGUGGUUCUGAUUUUGAGUGAGCGGCUCCAUGCAGUUACUGCUCAUUUUGAUCAGCUACGCUCUGUACGCUUCCAGGAUGCUGUCAAUAAAGCAAUGCCAAGAAGAAAAAUGCAUAAAAUAGCCAAGCUAAAAUCAUCAGAAUCCCUUCCUUCUGCUGCAGCAGAGAUCAGAGAACAAGAUCUUUCUUCUGGACCUGUAAGAAUCCAGGAUCAACUUCUAGAUGAUGAAACACGUGCAAUUCAGGUAGAAUUGACCAGCCUUUUGGAUGCUGUUCAAGAAACAGAAACUAAGAUGGUGGAGAUGUCUGCAUUGAAUCAUCUCAUGUCAACACAUGUUCUCCAGCAAGCUCAGCAGAUCGAGCAACUAUACGAACAGGCAGUCGAGGCGACCUUGAAUGUGGAGAGAGGUAACAAAGAGUUAGUGCAAGCAAUCCAGCGGAAUAGCAGCAGCAGAACUUUUCUUGUGCUUUUCUUGUUUGUCCUUACUUUUUCAAUUAUUUUUCUCGAUUGGUAUAACUAAUAAGUUUGUCAUACAAAGUAUUUUUACUACACUUACCGGCAAUUCAUCAUGAAUUCUCAGAAAAGGAAAAGCAAGGGAUCUAUCUCAGUCCAUUUCAUUAUCUGCUUUGGUUUGGUGUUGUGUUUGGACGAUGAUGGAAAUGUUUAUAGUAUUAGUUUCACUUGUUUUGGUGUUUGGGGUCUAGUUCAGGUUGUUUUAUGAAAGAUUCUAACUCUUAACUGAACCACAAAGACAAUGGAACUUGUGCUACACCUCAAUUGUUGUGGUAUUAGUUGCUAAUUGAGUUAAUAUUUAAAAAUGGAAAGCAAAUAUUAUUUAAUAAGAACAGGUAAAAUAUGACGAGGCAAUUAUACUCAUUUUGUUGAGGAUGUAUGUCAAAGUGCUCAUCAAGGUCUUUACGGUCCUUUAUUAGGAGCAAUUUGGUCAAUCUCUUGAGCCAUUUAACUAUGGGUUUAUGCAAAAGACUAAAUGCACUUUGAUUCAUGUGAUUUCAAUGUAUCAUGUAUUUUGGUCCCUCUCCUUGUACAACUAUUUUUCCUUGAGUAUGUUUCAUAUGACUGACCUGGGGGCACAGGUGGCAUGCCCCCAUGUUGUCAGUCUUAUGAUGCAUGGAAGGACCUAACUUGUAUGAUCAUGUAUAUAGUUAUGUACUUCUCCAUGGUAGGAAAUAUUAACUUGAUUGGUUAGUCUGCAAAUGCUGUUCUUGCAGUGAAUCUCCACAAUCUAUAUAAGGCAUCUUGGGAAAUUAUCUAUGGAUCUAUAGAAGAAGACAAGUCAACCAACCAUGAAGAUGGGAACGAAAAAGGGCACCGUUUUAUAAAAGAAAAAACAAAGAGGAGAGGAGGCAAACAAAACUGAUAAAAAAUAGUGACGGGCUUCCUCUCAAUUAGCACACAGACAUGUUGAGUGAAACCAUUUGUAAGCAUAAUGUUAGCUGUCUCACAUAUUCCUCGGAGUCCCAUCACAACCGGUGCUGUUGAUCUUCUUCCAUAAGUUGUUGCAGCAGAAAGUAGUACUGUCAGAAUGAGUCUGGCAGUUCUCUAAGAAUCAAGGAAGCGAAGAAGGCAGAGAAACACAAGAACAAGAUGGAAAGAGAACUUGCCAAAAACAAAAAGAAGAAAUCAAUGAUAUUGACAACAAAAAUACAAUUAGAAGAAAACACCAAUGAAAUCAAUAAUGGAAUGGUUGAUCAAUCUCAAAGCAAGUUUGAGAGGAAUGAAAAGUUUCUGUAGCUCUUGACACAACAAGUGUUAAACUUGCGAAUUCGACCACCUCUAUCAAGCGAAGCCUCAAGUUCCUUGGAUCAUGUGCUGUCAAUACUAAAGAAACUGUGAUUUAUCCUAACACCAGCUAAGUAUUAUCUUCAUUUUGGUUAUGUCACCCCGGACGGCUUUUCUAUUAAUUGUUUCUAGGGUGACACUAAUUUUCUCUUCUUUUUGUCCACCGCCAGUGAAUCUUCUUGUUAUGUCCCUUCAUUGUUGUAUAUGUUUCAAACCUCGGCUUUUUUUAUUUUUCUCAGUCUAUGUUCAUCUUUCUUCUUAUUUUUGUAAU